rfam:Planctomyces sp. SH-PL14, complete genome.
GGCCCGUUCGACUUCUGGUGAGGUUGCCAGCCUUUCACGCUGGCCAGGUUGGGUUCGAAUCCCACACGGGUCA